rnacentral:lncRNA from 1 species
CCCCACUCCUCUGCAUGUAUUUUCAUCCACAAUGAUGCUAUGUUAUGCUGCUUCAGGCUCCACUUCUGCAGGUGAUGCACCAGCCAAGCCCCUGGCUGCUAAAGGAAAGAGCAAUAGCAGGGAAGUCCUUGCUGGCCCUAGUAUUCCUGAGCUCAGUGUAAGUAAGAGUCCUUGAAGACAUCACCUCCCUGGCUGAGUCUGCAGAGCACGUGCAAACUGCAGCCUUGCAGAGGUGGUUAAGCUGAUCGACUCAUAGGUAGGCUGUUGCAGGGGAUGUCCUUAAUACCAGGUCAAGCCUGGUCUAGAUCUUUGGUCCUGAUCACGUACCUCCAAAGCAGAGAAGUGUAGAAAUCGGUCGGUCAGGCAGAAUUACGGUAACAAGGGUAAAACGGGCUUUAUCCUCUUGGUGUCAGCAGCAGCUAAAGCCUUUUGGCUGAGCGUUACCACACCUCCCCUCAGUGUGGGCAGGCACCCAGCACAGGAGACAGCUGCUCCUAGAAGGGCAGCGCCUUGGACUUCCCCCAGUCACUGAGCCACAGUAACUCGGCCAGCAACACAUCUGGGAACAUCUGCUCCGUGUUCCAGUUGCUUGGGAACUGAAACACAUUUCUGAUGCCAAGGAGGUUUCCCUAUCAACACAGACCAUUAAGCCUGUCCUGAGCGCAGUUUCCCUUAACUUGUCACCGCCUCAGAUUUCACGAGUUCUGUAUCCGAGGCUGGUGCAUUGUGGGGAAGAAGCAGACGUGUCCAUACUGCAAAGAGAAGGUGGACCUCAAGAGGAUGUUCAGCAACCCGUAUCCUUUUCUGGGCACUUCUUAGAUUAUUACAGUCUAUUCCUUGAAAAUAAGCUCUCCAGCAAAGCUAGUCUUGCAAUUAACCAGAAACCUGCUGUGGUUGUGGGAGAACCCCCUCUGUUCCAGUAGCAGCUUUGCCAGUAAUGCCGUGCAACCAGGCACUAGAGGGUAGGGCUAGGAUUCAGAGAGACCUUAACAAAUUGGAGCAUUGAACCAAAAGAAAUCUCAUGAGAUUCAACAAGGACAAGUGCAAAGUCCUGCACUUAAGAUGGAGUAAUCCCAUGCACCAGUGCAGGCUGGGGACUGACUGAUGGCA